rnacentral:lncRNA from 1 species
CAACACCACUCCCCUCUUCUGCCUGCCAGGAACUUGAGGGUCAAGCUGGUCCAUCUCGUCCCGCCACGGGCCCCUGACUUUUCCCAGUCUUCACCCUGCUGAAGUCCGUGUGGGGCCCGGACAAGACGGAACUAAACCCACUCAGCGGAGCUUCCUUCACGUAUCAGGCACCGUAACACCGGGAAACCGGCGACCCAGCCAACCGUAAGAAGGCAGGCACUUUGCGCAGAAAAUAGACUUGGCCGUGAAGGCCUCUGGGAAAUGUAGUCCUCGGCCGAAAAGUUGCUAACCUUUUCAGAUUCUUUUCGACACCAAGUUGCACUUCCAGGCUCCUAGUGGAGUGCCGGGCUCAAGUGAAGCAGCUGCAGCAAAACUGUUGAGCCUCCAGGGCAGAUCUUGGCGCCCUUAAACGCAGCGGUACGCUAAUUACCGCUACUCGCCGACAAGAAAGCCGGCCCGCCCCCACCCCCGUGAGCCGCGGGGGCCUCUGGGAAGUGUUGUCCGGCGUCUAACGGACCGAGGCUCGUGCUGCCCUCAGUCACAGCCGACGCUGACCUUACAGGAGCCUCCGACUCAGCCCGCAGGGGUUGUGCCACUUGGGCGGCAUUGAGUUGUGGGAUUGGGCCUGUAUCCGCGGGCUCCUUGAUUCUUCAGGUACUAAUUCAUUUAUCCAUCAGCACUCCCUUUAUUGAAUGCUGUCUAUGUGAAAGGAAUAAUUCUAGAUACUUGGGAUAUAGCACUGAACAAAAGAGAAACUCUCUGCUGUCAUGGUACUUACAUUGUCGUGGACCAGAUAAUAAGGUAAGUGAGUUAAGUAUAACAUACAUUCAGUAGUGAAAAAUAUUAAGAGAAAAAGUAAAACAGAAGGGUAUAUACGGUGAGAGAAGGGAAUUCAAGUUUUAGAUGGUGUGGCUAGGGAAGGCAUCCUGAAAAGGUAAUAAAGAUAUGAUGGAAGUGGAGCACCGGGGUGUCUUAGUCAGGUAAGCAUCCAACUCAGUUUCGGCUACUCUCAUGGUUCAUGGUUUCGAGCCCCAAGUCAGGCUCCAUGCUGGCAUUGCAGAACCUGCUUGGCAUCCUGUCUUUCCCUCUCUCUGCCCUUCCCCUGCUCAUGUGUGCGCUCUCUCUCUCUCAAAAUAAAUGUAAAAAACAAAAGAUAUGAAGGAAGUAAAGGAGCUAUUUAUGCAUGUAAUUGAGGGAAGGUUAUUCCAGGCAGAAUGAACAACAGUUAUAAAAGUCCUGAGGUGGGAACCUGCUUGUUAACAGCAGAGAGGCUGGUAUGGCUGAAAUAGAGCAAAUGAGAUGGAGACUAGUGGGAAAUGAGAGAAAAAAGGUAAGUGGAGGGAAGAAGGGUAGAUCAAGUUCAUAACAUGGGCCAUAUUAUGAUUUGGCUUUUACUGUGAAUGAGGUGGGAAGCUGUUGGAGAGUUUUGAUCAUGGGAGUGACAUUAUCUUGCCUACAAUGUAAGAGUAUCACUUUGGCUGCUCUGAUGAGGAACUAUACGAAGAAGGAUGGGGGUGGGGGGACAAGGGUAGAAGAGACCAUUUAGGAAACCUUUACAAUAAUCUAGGGAAAAGAUGUCCGUGACCUGGAACAGAGUAGUAAAAAUGGUGAGAAGUAGUCAUGUAUUGGAUAUAAUUUAAAGAUAGAGCUGAUGGGGUUUGCUGAAGGAACUGAUGUGGAGUAUAAUUGUGACAAGAGGACACAGUAUUUUUCAAUCUGGCACACUUGAAGAACAGAGUUAUCAUUAACUGAGAAAGGAAAGAAAGUAGGAAAAACUGACUUGGGGCAAAGGGAGAUAGUGAGAUUUCAGUUUGGAAUAUAGUAUAUGAAGCAUGAGAUGCCCAUUGGACAUUCAAGUAGAGAUAUUAAGUUGGCAGUGGGAUAUACAAGUCUGAAGUUCAAAAGAAGAAUCUGAGGGGUGCUGGGUGGCUCAGUGGUUAGGUUAGCACGGAGUCUGCUUGGGAUUUCUCUCUGUCUCUCUCUGCCCCACUGCCGCUCUCAUGCAUAUCUGUGUGCUCACACGUGCACACUCUCUCUCAAAAAAUAAAUAAACAUUUUUUUAAAAAAAUUAUGUGAGAUCUAGGCUAGAGACAUAAAUUUGGGAAUUAUCAAUAUGUAGAUAUUUAAAGUGAAUAGACUGAAUGAGAUCACUUAAAGGGUAGGAUAGAUAGAAAAAGGUAGAGGUAAAGGACUUAUAUCUGGGUCACUCCAACAAAGCCUGGGAAAUGAGAAGGAACAAGCAAAAAGGACUGGAAGGGACUAGCUAGAAUGGUUGGAGGGAAGCUAAGUGAGUUUGAUACCCUGGAAACCAAAGGAAAAAUGUGUGUUAACAAGAACUGUGUCAGUGCUGCUGAUAGGCCAAGUGAAAAGACGACUGAGAAAGGAAUGUUGACUUUAGCAACAUGAAAGUCAUUGGUGACCCUGAAGAGGAGUUUCAGUGGAGUAUGGGGCUAAAGAGAGAAAUAGAGAAAAAAGUUUGGAGAUACCUGUUAUAGAUAAUUCUUUAAGUUUUUCUUUAAAUGGAAGAGGAGUGAAAUAGAGGGGUAGAUGGAGUUGGAUUUAACCAGAGUGUUGGUUUCAUGAACUAAUUAGGAGUAAUGUGAGGCAAGGGUGUCUAAGUUGGCAGGAAUUAAUUAUAUUGAUUGACUGAAUUUUAGGCCAGGUAAGUAGAAGAGUGAGGAUAGGAAGGAGGUGAGGGACAGUGAAAAAUUGGUAGAAUGAACGAAGUUCCUGAUGGGGUUGAAGGACUGUUGGGUUGAAAUAUUAGAGGAAGUAAGGUAGAGAGAUGGGAUAUUUUUCCUUUACUUGUCAAAUGUUUUCAAAAUAGAACAAUCCCUCUUUUUACCACUGUAUCAGUUUAAGAAAACAUGGAAGAUUACCAGCUAUAUUUCAGUAGGGGUUACAAAAUGAUAUUUGGUAUAAAUGGUGUUUGAGUUCUGCAUUCCUUCUUCAUUUACUGGCUGGAAUAUUGUAAAGAAAAAAAUUUCCCUCAUCAACCCUUUGGUUACCUUGAAGAAGGUUUUUAUAGGAAAAGCAGAAUACACUGAUUCUUUCCCUUUAUAGGUUUUCAGGCUAUUGAAUUGGUUCCUUAGCAUUUCCCAAUGAGUUGUUAUUUUUACUGUUAUGUACUCAUAGAUUUUAGCAUAUUUGAUGUAAUUCAAAC